UACUAAGGGAAAAAGGUAAAUAAUUCACAUACAGUCUGUGAGUUUUAUUUGAUACUCUAUCCAGUUACUGAAGUGUGUUCCAAAAAGACAAGAAAAAGAAAAAAAGAAAAAGUUAUCAGAAAGGUGGGGUGGAGUGGCUCUGCUUCCAACUCAUUCUCUUUUUAUGCACACAUCUGACUUCUCCAGUCUCAUCAGACACACAUGUAUUCUAUUACAGGCCAUCAGUAUCAGGGUGUGAAGCACCAGAGGAGAUUCAGAAGUCAGGAGGAAUUUUUUCAUGGUGGCUGGGCCUCCCUGGACCAUCUGCACAGGUACUGGUGGAGCUGCUGUUUCUGGAGCUGAAGAGAUGUGUGGACGUGGCACAUGGUGUAGGGUUGGAUUUGCCAUCAAGACCCAUCCCUCCAUGGUGUACGUUGGGUUCUGGUAACCCUGUGCCUGGGGCAUCUCCAUUAUGAAGAAAGGAUGGCAGACUUGGGGCAGUUCAGCCUGGAGAAGAGAGGACUGAAGGAUGUACCUGGGGGAGGAGAUGGUGAAGAAAAACUGAUUGCUUAGCAUCAGCUGAAUGGCUGCAUGCCUGCCCAGCCUCACCAGCAGUGAUGGCAUUGUGUUUGGGGGGUUGCAAUGACACGCACUGUUGGAUGUGCUGUAUGAAAACCCAGCGCCAUCGCACACAGCUGGGAUUGAGGGCAGCAGUGCAGACACGUGCGCCCGUCCCAGGCUGCAGAAGGCCAUGCAGCACGAGGCACAGCCAGCACCUGAGCAGCUGAUCUAUCAGUGAACACACGGAGCUUCCAAUGGCUCUGCGACAGACGGUGGGGCAACGUACGAACUGCAGAGAAGCUCAUGCUUAAGAAUGAAAGACUGAAGGUUUGAUUUUCCUUCUUUCCUCCAGCAGACUCAUCAAAAGUUUAUAUGCAGAAUACUGAACAUCAAAAGGCACAGUACCAAUUCUAGAGGAAAAUAUUCUCAAUGUGAACAUUGAGCUUGAUUUAACCUUAUAAAUGACCUUGGAAAGUAGAACUAUGAAUAGCAGAAGUUUCCACUAACUCAGCUACUGUUUCCAUCUCUAGCAGUGUAGAAAGGCUGGCUGCUCUCCUCCUACCUUACUUAUGGCAGAUUGGAGGUCUGUGUAGCACCGAAACAAAGUUAUCACAAAAUUAGGAAAUACAGAACCUCACUCCUGAAGAAGUGAAAAGCACCUUGUAUUUCAUUUUCAAUCACUUUUUGUUAUACAAGAAUUCAUUCCCUUUUUUCAAUCCCAUUUUGUUAUAAAUACAUUAUAACUGUACUUCAUUAAUGCUCCAUAGGAAAAGCUGGCCUGACCUACUAACUGCUUCAGCUGCAACCUCUAAGCUGGUUUCCCAGAAGUUUCCACAAGAUGAGGUGCUAAAAAGGUUCUGUAGCUGCUGGCACAUUUCACUUGCUUUCUGUCCAACAGUCUCUUCUGAAAGUAGAACAUUUAUGCUAUCCAGGAGAUGGCAGUGAUGCAGUAAGGUGGGACAAGAUGACAGAUCUUUCUUUAGAUUAAAGCAGCCAGUGAAGGACAGGGUGCUAGGUGUCAUCUUUCGAAGGCAAGUGAAACAGGAUUCCAGCUGAAAGGGUCAAUUUAUCUGCUUAAAUAAGCCAACAACUCUUUUCUCUCCACUGCCCAUGAGUUUUCACUCACUUUUUAAUUUUUAUUUUAAGUACAACUAGCUUCAUUUAUCCUAAACUAUUACAUUUCCUGUUCUCCUGCUUGUCUUUGUCAAUAGUGAGAGCAACACUUAAGUGCCAUGUCACAGAAGUAGAAGGGAUAGCUGUUCCCAGCUUUAGAGAAGUACAGGCUCAGGUGUCCAUUUUGCUUAUUAAUAAGGAAGGAAAAAGUUCUGAGUGCCAAACACUAGCAAGACACUGCUUUUGAAAGAUGGUAUAACCUUAUGGUCAGCUUAGCAUUUUUUUCACUAAGAAUGUAUUUUCUUUUAACAAAAUAAAAAUGUUCUCAUUGCAUUCCAAACAAUUUUAUAUGGGCACUUAAAGCUCACUGUUUCUUGUAUAGAAAAUCUCUACAGCUAGAAGGGAGAAACAGAAGAAAAGUCCACUGGGUUUAUUUUAGCUUCAAAUGUAAAAUGGUUAUCAUUUAAAAAUAAGUGAAAUCAAACUGUGCUCUCUACAGAUUUAAUUUCACUUAAUUACAUUAAUAAUAGAUUGUCAUUAUCAAGUUAUUGUUAUUUUGCUUUGCAGAACCAGAAAACAGUUACCAAAGGAUUGUUAGAUUUCAGUCCAUGCCGCUGGACAGGAAGUGCUGACUGUGGGGUGACCCCUGGGCACAUUCACCACUCAGUAACAAAUCCCCAUCGACAGCGAUGCUCACACUAGGAGGCGUGCAGUGCCCCCAGUGACUGCAGUCAUCUCUAAGAGAAGCCUAAGGAGCCUCAAGAGAAGGAAAUGCACACAGACAACCCCUCCCCACCUCUCCACACUGUAGCGUUAUUAUGUGUAAUUACUGUAUUGCUGGGUGCAUUCCUACCUCUCUUCACAGUGGAUAUUUUACAGCAUGAUGAGGUUUUGGAGACCUUUGAAGUCACACCACUUUUCCUAUGAGCAAACUCGCGUUACGUGGACGUGUUCUUUUGGACCUGAAGGACAGUCACACCCUUUGUUCACCAGCAGGAUAUGGAGUUCUGGGCUCUUCCCCUGCCAAGCAGGCCUUCCAUUUACUGCUAGCACCAUCACAAGUUCCCUCCCAGCCCUCAGCCCUCCCUGACUCGUGGCAAGCACCAGGCAGGAGAAACGUUUUGUCCAAUACUUGUUUCAAUAAUCACCUGCAGGGGUUUUUAACUAGAAAAUUUCUCCUGAAAAUAAAAAAAAAGAAAAAAAAAAAAAAAGAAAAAAAAAUCCCUAUUCUACAGUUUCAAAGUGCAGAUGAGCUUUUGCAUAUCUUUAUGUUAAGUCUGAAGUGAGUGAGACUGAAAAUAAUAAGCCUGUGACACAGAGCAGUUUUUAACUAACAGUUUUGAUGGAGUAGAAAAGACGUUCCUCUCCCUGAUGUUCCUUUUAACACAGAUGUCUGCAAUUCAGCUGCACAGAUCAAUGCCGUGCAACACAUUUGUUUCUUCCAUAUUUGGCUUUGUUGUAGAAGCAGUGUCACACUUAGUUCUUGUGCAAUGAGCUCUAUGCACAGACCCACAGUGUAACUGUGACAUUGUAAUUGCUAUCAGUACAGCUGCCACACAAUAAACAAAUCGGGACUUUACACUCCGAGUAUUAUGAAGGAGCUUAGCACCUGCCAGUUGUUGUAGCUACAAGGGGACAGCUGGGAAAACAUGAGAAGAAUUCAAUGAAUGUGCAGGAAAACUUCCUGAUUCCUUCAGCUAGUGAAGGCUGUAAAGAUAGAUUGUUACAGUUAAUAGCAGUGAUGUUCUGUUAGACAGAACCUCACAAACCCGUGUUUUAGGUGAGACAAAGAAGGUCAGGGACGCAGGAGGGAAGUUAGUCCUUUUGGCACUGAAGUAUUUAUGUGAAUCUACCUUCAAUGCGUUACUGAAAUAAGGAGUUUCAUUGUGCUGUUGUGAUGUGCUGCAAUUUGAGUGUAUAAAACUGCAUUUUUGAGUGUACAGCUUUGUUUUUCCUAACUUUUCUUCCUGGUAUAAUUUAAAAUAGGUGUCUAGGAAAGAAAGACACGGCAAUUGCACACUGCAGAAUGACAAACUGUACAUUCAGGUCACGUUCCUCAAUUCUUGUCGCCAAAUCUGAAGGACUACGAGCUACAAGAAAGUUGGGGAAUUUCAAAAUUAGGAAAAAAAGUGGAUUUAGAGCAACUUAUCUUUUAUUUACAAUAAUUGUGCUGUGAAUGCAAUAUAUUCUUCUACUUUCUCAUAUUAAGUUAUUCUGUAUUACAGUGUUCCAGGGAGCUUUCCACCGCGUGUGAAAUACACAGACACGGCACGGAAGUUUUGAAUAUCUGGAAUAUCCAGCUUUCCAUUUCCUUCUCGCCUCCUUCUUCUGCACCAAUCUCACUCUACGGAAGAAAGCACUUGUUCUUACUGCUGGUAACAGGGAGACCAUGUUCUGUGUUUCCUUAUGAGAAGGAAGGACUGGUGGUGGUUUCGAUACGCAUCUUUACGUAGCGCUGGCAGUAAGCCUACUGUAGGUCACCCAGCAGGUUUGGGUUUGAACUUUAGAAUGUCUGGAAAUGACCUUCCAGUAAGCACUAUUCAUAAAUUACAAAGAUUACUGUAUUUUAGCCAUCUUAGGCACAUAGGCUUUCAUAAGUAAGUGUAAGAACUUUAAUGCAACACAACUCAAUUUAGAAUAAUACACUAUUUUUCAUCUGACACCACUGAAGGUGACAUUGCUACAGGAAAGAGCUGAAACACUGAUUCUUGCCUUAUUGCCCUGUUCAGUCUUCUGAAGACUGAUUUUAAUAAGAAGUGUAUCUGCAAAAAACACAGGUUGCUAUGCUAGCUAUCAGGGAAAGGGGAAAAGGGACAAGUCUUCUAAUAGCUCCUUUUACAGCUGAAGAGUAGCUGCUGGCCAAUGGGUGGAACACAGGGUCAAUGGAAGAAGCAUCCAUAUUAAAAACCGAAGAAAAAGCAGAUCAGCAAAUUAUUCGUGACACAUUUCUGCUGUAGGUGACAGGUAAGAAAACAGCACUGUGGAUUUCUGAUGACUGUAAAGCCUUGCCUUCCCAUCCCCAAGCCAGGCAUCCCAAUUGUGGUCAAAACAGGUAAGUCGUGGGGCUUUUUGUUUGUUUGCUUUCACACAGAUUAGCUUCAGGUGUUAGUUUCUGUUCUUUGGAUGUUUCGAUUUUUAUUACACAAAUUAAAACACUUAAAUUUGCUGGCUGUCCAAAGCCCUCGGUACUGGAAAUCCAGACAAUGGUACCUCAGCUUGUACUCAACUAUGAAAGCAUUCCACUUAAGAAAAUGUAAAUGAUCUCUCACUGAUGCCUCCCACAUUCUCCCACCUUUAUCUCAACAUGAAGUAUUCUAUCAGAGAGCCUGCAAGAAGAAAUCUAGACUUGCUGUCUGGAUUUUUCUCGCAGUAACGGUUUAAAUAGGUGAUGAAAAUGCAGUCUUAGAGGCCUGAUCCUGGAGAAGGCAUGACUUUCUCAACACAAAAUACUUAGGAAGAAUUAUAGCUGUAUGGAGAACAUAAUUAAACCCCCCAACAUGUAUUUUCAAGCACAAUUUUGCGUCGCCCCAUAGUACGAAAGAUACAGAUUUAAUCUCUGCUCACUGAUGCUUUCAAACACGCAGACAGUAUCUCACAGUCAGACAGAUCUCAACAGACAGAUUACCUGCAUGGAUUUUACCAACUUACAGAAAUUGUAAUUAUGCUUUUCCUGAUGUUUUUAUUAGGUUGACUGGUUAAUACUUAUAACUUGCUCUUGAUUUUGUUCUACCGCUUGAAAUCAGCAACUCUGUUUCCUGUAAACAGCUUGCAAAGCAAACACAGAAAGCUACAUGAGGCUGUUUGCUUUUGCACUGGGAGCGGCAGAACAGCAAACAACGCUGAACACAGAAUGUUAACAGACUCCCAGAAGUGGUUUCAGAACAAAUGGUAAAAAUGUACGCAGGCACAGAGAGCUGCGGUCACCUCUCAAAGAGAGGCCAUCCCUCACAUCACCUGCAGAAACACCGAGAAGAAAAUUGCUAAAAACAAUCCUUUAAAGUUAAGAGUAAUGGAAGCGGCCAGUGUCACACCAUUGAAAAUGUCCUACAUUACCCUUAACUGAAAGUGCAGACUGCUCAUAAUAGAAGGACAAUUUAUCCAGUUAUUUUUGUCAAAAAGCAAAUGAAGCCUUUAAGCAACGUUUCCUCUUUAUAGUUCAGUUUGUACUUAUAUUUUUGUCAGAAGUAUUACUCAUACUUUGGUGACAGUUUUACUUUUGUAGACUGAGCAAUAUCAUUUCAAUGCUAGCUAAAGGAGUACAAAACAAAGUGCUAAAUUUUUCAGAAAUUCAGAAUAUAUUCUCAGGAAAGUAUGGAACUUUUAGUACAUUCUUGUUUAUAGCAGAAAUGCUGAGUCGUGGCCUGAAGCAGUGAUGGAGCACCUGGUGGGAAGGCAGGGCAGCCCAGGGAGCUCAGGUGCAUGCAAUGCAAUGCACUGAAUGAUGGAAGGGUGGAACCAGGAUCCACCCCUUCCCCACCCUCAUUUAAGGGCUGGCAGUGGAGGUGAGGGUCUCACUGGAAAUCCCUGCAUACGUGAGGCCUUCUGAAGGUAAGCAGCUUCUUUCUUUAUGCCUGUGCCCACAGCUGUUGUAUUUAAGCAAACCUUCACUUGCUGCAGCCUAGGACCUUGCUGCCCUGCUGUCAUUGCUGUGCUUCCCAUUGUGUUAUAGCAUUACAGUGUUCAUGUAAAAUUAAUCCAUCUUUGACUCUCCAUUUCCUCAUUCAAAAACUGAACUAGAAUAUUAAUAUCUACUAUCUGAGAACUUCUAUUGAUGUUCUUGAUUGAUCUGGUGUGAGUGGCCUGAGAAAUAACGUGUUUUAAAGCAGUGUAAUCCCACCUGGCUAUGUACAAUGCUCUUUUUCCAGUACCUCUCUACUUUAGAUCAUUUUUAUGAAAAGUCACCAGGAAAACAAAACAAAGUUUAUAUUUUGAUGUAGUUUAAAAAAAAAUGAUUACAAGCCCACUUACCUAACUCUUUGGAAACAGGCGAAUCUGCUGAUAUAUCCCCAAUCUUUGCAAGGCUGUCGUAGUAUGAUCUUCCAGCCACUACCAUAGCUUAAAGGGAGAAAAAAACAAAACACAAAAGCUGAAAUAUUUUCUUCUUUCAUUAAUUUAUGGCACUAUGAAAUAUUAGAAUCCAGGACACAUAGUAUGCCAAAAAGGAAAUCCUACUGUUGGGAAAACUUACUCAAGUCCCUGUGCUAUCUGCUAAGUUGUGAAGCCAGGUGUCAGCAAGACAGGGCUCCAAAGCACUGAAGCUGCAGCCUGUUACUUAGUUCCAGCUUUCCCAUUCAGGUGCACAUGCCUGAAUUCACACUCGGACUCUCACUUUUUUUUCCCCUCUCCAGGACAAUUUCUCCCCCAUCCCACAAUUUUGUUUAUCAUUCAAUUCUAUCUUUACAGGAAAAAAAAAUAGGUGUUUAUUACAUAUCGCUGAGGAUUCAAUUAUUUGCAGUUAAUCAUUUCUUAGUUACAGCCAACUUAAACAGCAAAGCUUGCUUUGCCAGAGUGAACAAAACAUGACCCUACCUCCAGUGAGGACAGCAGUGAGAAACAGGUUCCCCUGCACCAUGCAGUGCCUGCCUUGUGUGGCCAUGGUAUCUAAAAAUGAUCUGCAUUCUACAAAUGUAAGACGUUAUGAGGAAAAAACUGCCAAGGCUUUACUGGAAAUAGCAGUGAAGAAUACUGAUUGCAGUAUAUCUUUAAAUUUUGGGGGGAUAGUAGUUAAUUUUUUACCCAGAGUGCAAGCUAAGCAGAUGCUGGCUGUUGACUUUAGAAUAGCCUUUUCUGGGGAGGGAUGGCAUUGCCAACGUAAGUAUUUUAGAUACCUUUUUACUAGCAGAGGUGGCCUUUUUGGUUACCCAACAGCAUGUUUGCUGAGAAGCCACCAACUCUUCCAAAUGAAAUGGUUCUUCCUGAAGCCCCGUUACAUUGGAUGAAAGCAACUUCCCUCAGGGAUGCCACGUCCAAACUUUCUGAACAGAGCUGCGCUGCUGCUGAUAGGGCUGCCAUGCAUUCACAAAGAGCUUAUGUCAUUCCAACUCCACCUAUCUAAUGUUUUCUCAAGAUAGCCCCGAGUCAAUCUCAUCUCCUAGCAUCGGUGCUAAGAAAGGAAGAAAAUGUGAUUCAUACUAACAUGUAUGAGAGCCCCAAGAGCUCUUCCUAGCAGUUGUUGGAAUCGCUUACAUAAAAUGAAGCAUUGAUACUAGAUAUGUUUCUCAACUAGGCUCAAAGAGGUAGACCAUAAAACCUAUCAGCCUCUCUCCAGGACUGCUGUACACUGCUGUACCGUGAAUUACUGACGAUAAAUUGAUUCCAAUUAAAAAAGGGAAGGAAAAAAAGGCAAUAUAACUUAUCAAUGGAAAAGAAUGAAAAGUAGCUGCUCUCGAGAACAGGUGUAACUUUCAGCCCAACAUGAAAACUUGCUAUUUCUGGUACUGCUUAUAAUGGGUGAACUUAUUUGCUAAUGAAUGAGCUUAGGUUUUACUGCAAACAAAUCAACAUUCCCUUAUUUUCAUCUCCAGCAGGCUUUGGUUUUUAUCUUUUCCUCAAGUCUGGUCUAAAAUUUGCAUGAAGAGAAAUUUCAAUGUCUGUUUGGCUAUGCAUGACUUCUGUAGUAUCACAUUUCUCAGAGUACUACCUUACACAUAGGGGAAAGACACAUCACAGGCUUUAAGGAGGCAAAAUGGGGAGAUUUCACAGUGCUUUAAUAUGGUAUCAAGCAGCUCAACAGGUCUGUGGAAGUGAGGAAGAGCAAGCUCCAACAGGUCCUACAGUGCAAGCUUUGGGAAUCUAGGGCCCAGGCUUGGAAAGCAUUUUUUUUUAUCUAAACAGCUUCUCAGAAGUCAAUAAUGAAAGUGUAUAAUGAAUGCCCUUAGAUCCAAAUGGAUGGAUUCUGAUUUUUGACUCCAGUAGGAAGAUAGCUUCAGAUGGAGCUGGGUCAGAAGGAAAAAUUAAUCCGUUCCUGGAACUCGUGCCUGCUCAAAUUCCUCUGUUCAUGAGCUUAUUUACUUGGGCAGUGCAAUGUGUGCAGUGGAGGAGGAACAGAGGUAAGGAUGUGAAUUCUUCUUUAGAUCUAUUACAAUUUUAGUACAGGUUACUUUCUGGUUACUUUAUGUUCAGGGUUAUUGGUGUGUUUGUUGUUUUUGUUUUGUUUUUUUGUGGAAAGCCUUUGAGAUGCAGCUUUUGCAGAACACCACUUGAAUUCAGCCAAAAUCCAACUUCCCCUCCCAAUUAAAAAAAGACAUGUUUGUGCCUUUUUUAAAUAAAUGCAUGAAGUUCAGUGUGGAAUUUAAGCUUAUACACAGACCUCAUAACCAACAUGAGAAUUAAUCAAAUGAAAAUUAAGGGCUGUUACUGAAAUGAACAUUCUGAAGACUUACCAUUAACAGCUUUCUCGUAAUUCUUCCCGAGAUUUAUUAAAUUCCGCAGUCCUGGAUUGAAUUGUUCCAUUACAUUCUAGGAAACAGAAAGUUCAUGUUACAGCCAAGGAAGUCAGCAGUGGAGAAAUGCAUUUGUCUCAGUGCCACUUGGUUUUGCACAGCAUGUGUCUGAAAAGUCUGUGGAUGGGUGACAAGUAGAAGAGUUGGAGGGAGAAAUGAGUUCAUGGUGGAUGGAAAUGGAGCAUUCAUGGUCAACGAAUUCUAGAAGAAUUGGGCUUAAGUGGGGCUCAAGAGGAAUCCAGUUGUUUAUAACAUAGAAGGAUGCUGAGUAUGAAAGGAAAGUUUGCAUAGAUCUUCCUUGUAUGAGAGGCGAUGGAAAAAGAACCACGGAAGAAAAGGGUUCUCCACCAAGUGUUUUCUGAAGUCAGAAGUUAACAAGAAUUUUCUGAUAACGGUGCAAGAUUUGAGCGCUGCAGCCCCUUCCCCCCAUAUAAAUAAAUGUGGGGAAAAGGGGGAGAAAAAAAAUAACCCGAUACCUGAUUAGAGAAGGCUAAGAGGACUUUUGUUUUGUUUUAACACAUCAAAACAAGCUGCAAAGUCCUCCAAGUUACAGGUAGCAUUUAAAGGAAGCAGUUCUCUCUGCUCCGGUUUGGAACUGCUGCUUUUUAUUGGGAGAGUCGUAGUUCUUGGAGAGGUGCAGUGAAAAUGUGGCCCUGUUUAAAAUGGCUCUGAAGAUUCUAGACCUUCUUUUCCCAGACCUUUCCUAACAGAACUGCAGCCAUGGAAUCACUCUGGGGUUUUGUAAGAUCAUGAGAUCCUUCAAGAAGGCGUCCUGUCAUUCUGGCUGCUCUUAUGACACUUUGUAAUGGCACAGCUCCUGUCCCUCUGGCACCAUUCGCACAGCAGGACUUUCAAGUUUGAGGAAUUCAAAACAAACAUUUUGUUUACAAGAAAUAAAAGACACACAACCAGUCAAAUAGUAUCAAGCCGCUGUCUGUUCCUCAACUAACAGAACGUAAUUAUUUCUAUUUGCUGCAUGCAUGGACACAGAAAGCACAGGAAUGCCUUCACAUGUGUUUUAUUUUCGGAGAGGUCAUUCAGAUUGAACUUCACUGUUUUGAUUGUAGGGCCAUACGUGAUGAACUCCUGUCAGUGUUACAAAGCAAAGCAAAGAGAUUCAGAUUCCACCAGUAAUGUUUUGACAGGUUGAGUAAAACACAUCAGAAAUGUACAGAAAGGGGAAAAUGCGAAAGAAACAAUGAAAAUUACGUGUACUGAAUGCUUUCAGAAUGAAAAAAGGUUUUCUCUGACUUUUUCCGGGUGUGAGCUUUAUGUGAAAUAAUGCUUUCAGGUAUUUACUUCCUAAUCACAUUAUGUAUUUCAUUGGCACCUGCAUGUGUAAUAUUGCUGGGUCUGGAUGACGUUACAGACUGACACACCUCAGGCUGAUGGCACUGAGGGACAACAUCCCCUAAGGAAGGGCUUCAGUACUGAUUUAAUGCCCACAGUGUUGCUUCCCCCAGCUAGAGAGCUGUUCUGUCAACAUAUGUUGUCAUUCUGUGAAUGGUUACAAAGCUUCUAGGUGCUGAUAAUAUACAUGACAUCAGCAGUGGACAUGCAGUGCCAGUAAUUAGCUCCGUUGCCUUUGUUUGUACAAAUUUAAAGCAACGGGAAUUGCUUUCUUGUCACUGAAUUCCUACCUAUCCAAACACAAUCACUGCAAGCGAACUUCCCUGUUGUCCCCAGGCCCUCGGUCUGUGUUAACUCACAAACCACAUCCACAAAUGGUUUGGGAAUGUGUGUUUCAGGUUGGGCCAACACUGCCAACGGCCAUUCUGACAACUUUCAAGCUCCAGCAUCUGGGAGCACUUCUCCCAUCCCAGCUGCUUAACUGGCUACUGGAAAUGUGCUGCUGUGCCAGAAUGGACCUCUGGAGAUCAUCUGGUCCAACCCCGGGUGCUUCUGAUCUAUGGGGUGCUUCUUCCUCUUACCACCUUUCUGCUUUUCCUUCCCAGCAGCGUGCUAAGGAAGAUGUCUGCUGGCAUAUGGAGCGGAUGAAUCACGAGAAUAGAAUGGACAAAUCGUGGAACUGUUUUAGGAUAGAGAGCCCUGUGUUCCGAGGAUCCGGGGGAGGAGAAGGGCGUACAUGGAAAAUGUGCAUACACACGGCAGUUCUCAUUUAGGAGGAAGUGGAAAAAAACCCAGCAAGAAUGCCCUCAGCAGCUCCCCGCCCUGCAGCCCAGCCCCGCAGAUCUAUUUUCAGUGGCUGCAUUGAGGCACGGCAGGCAGUCAUAGCGCAGAUCGGCGGCACUGCGGAAACACGGCACGGCUCAGCAGAGCUCCCAGCUCCGCAGUCGCAGCUGCUCUGUGUGUGAAACUGCUGGGAACGAUGAAGAAACGCCGUGUGGCUCCGUGCCUCCGGUGGCUGGAAGCACACAGCUCAAGGACCUUUUCUCUGCUAGACCAGGCGGUCUCUGGAAGUUUUUCAGUCCCUGUGCUGCCACAGUGGCUUGUUGUUAGCAGAAGUAUCUGACCAGUUUCUAGACACGAAUGCCUCAGAAUCAGUGAAAAGUUUUGCAAUGGAAAUUUCUCUGGUAAUUGCUUGGUUUAACAUGGGGCAUGCUUAGCUGGCCCUCCCAGCACUGCACAGGGCUCAGCUCUUUCCUCCUAAGGGUUUGUGUUUGACAGACAUAAACCUUUUCUCCCCUCUCCCCGCUGGAAACAAUCUAAUGAAAUAAUUUUUAGUUGAUUUUUUUUCUUCUCCUCAGCAUUACAGAGAAGAAUACAGGAAGGACAAUUGUUUUGUCCUUACUAGAGGCUGGAUUCCGAGAGCAAACAAAACCUGACCUUGCUUCCAGAGCUCACUCUUUACACAGCUGAGUGCUGCUGUCUUCAAAGCAGUGCCAUUCCAGGCUGCAAUGUCCAGAGCACUUUUUCAGAACAGAACUCCCUGUUCAGCAGAUUGGUAAUGCCAAGAUAUUUUACAUCAGAGCUUUUCAACCCGGGCCAUUCUAUGAUUCUAUGAUCAGUUCAAA